AGGAAAGAGGGAGGAGUGCCUAAUACAUGCAAGUCGAGCGAACAGACGAGGAGCUUGCUCCUCUGACGUUAGCGGCGGACGGGUGAGUAACACGUGGAUAACCUACCUAUAAGACUGGGAUAACUUCGGGAAACCGGAGCUAAUACCGGAUAAUAUAUUGAACCGCAUGGUUCAAUAGUGAAAGACGGUUUUGCUGUCACUUAUAGAUGGAUCCGCGCCGCAUUAGCUAGUUGGUAAGGUAACGGCUUACCAAGGCAACGAUGCGUAGCCGACCUGAGAGGGUGAUCGGCCACACUGGAACUGAGACACGGUCCAGACUCCUACGGGAGGCAGCAGUAGGGAAUCUUCCGCAAUGGGCGAAAGCCUGACGGAGCAACGCCGCGUGAGUGAUGAAGGUCUUCGGAUCGUAAAACUCUGUUAUUAGGGAAGAACAAAUGUGUAAGUAACUAUGCACGUCUUGACGGUACCUAAUCAGAAAGCCACGGCUAACUACGUG
rnacentral:rRNA from 1 species